rnacentral:rRNA from 1 species
UAGGGAAUCUUCCGCAAUGGACGCAAGUCUGACGGAGCAACGCCGCGUGAGUGAAGAAGGAUUUCGGUUCGUAAAACUCUGUUGUUAGAGAAGAACAGCGCAUAGAGUAACUGUUAUGCGUGUGACGGUAUCUAACCAGAAAGCCACGGCUAACUACGUGCCAGCAGCCGCGGUAAUACGUAGGUGGCAAGCGUUGUCCGGUUUUAUUGGGCGUAAAGCGAGCGCAGGCGGUCAAUUAAGUCUGAUGUGAAAGCCCCCGGCUCAACCGGGGAGGGUCAUUGGAAACUGGUUGACUUGAGUGCAGAAGAGGAGAGUGGAAUUCCAUGUGUAACGGUGAAAUGCGUAGAUAUAUGGAGGAACACCAGUGGCGAAGGCGACUCUCUGGUCUGUAACUGACGCUGAGGUUCGAAAGCGUGGGUAGCAAACAGG